AGGCGGGAGCCGGCGAUUCGGGCCCUUGCGUUGUUGCAGCAGAGUUACUGUUCUGCAAAAAACACUUGAGUUGUGAUUGGAGUCGGGGAUCAACAACCUCUCUUCUCUCUCUCUCUCUCUCUCCUCCCUCCUCUCUUUAACUAGAGUCUUCCAAAUUCCACUCAUCUCUGAAGUUUUUCAAUGCCCGCUUUAAGUCAAUGCAGUCAUCAACAGGUUUCUUCUAUCAGCUUUGUUUCACACAAGGAAGUGGAGAUAGAGAGAAAGCAGCUGGGUCACAUGGUAUCUCACAAAGGAAUUUCCCCUGAAUAGCUUCCAGCUCUGUGUCUUUCAUCCUCACCUGGAUCAUUCUGAUGUAUGUACCCCAGUACACCUGGCUUCUGUAUCUAGAAGUUGGAUGAUUGUGCAUGGGAUGCUCAUAUCUCAGGAAGUAAGAAGGAGUGAGGGUCCACAGCUACCAGCAACUAGGAAGUCAUAUGGAGUCCUUCUGCAGAGUUAGACAGUGAAAGAGAGAGAGAUAGAGAGAGGAGAGAAAGGUCUUUCUUCUGUUGGUUCACCCUGCAAGUGGAUGCUACGGCCAGCGCGCUGCGCCCAUCCGAAGCCAGGAGCCAGGUGCUUCCUCCUGGUCUCCCAUGCGGGUGCAGGGCCCAAGCACUUGGGCCAUCCUCCACUGCCUUCCUGGGCCACAGCAGAGAGCUGGACUGGAAGAGGAGCAACCGGGACAGAAUCCGGCACCCCAAGUGGGACUAGAACCCCAUGUGCUGGUGCUGCAGGCGGAGGAUUAGCCUAGUAAGCCGCAAUGCUGGCCACUGGCACAUAUCUUUAAUAAAACAUUCUGCCCUCACUCCAUAUGCUGGGACAAUAAACAAGCAAAUAAGUGAGCUGAAAUGAACGAUGCUCCUGUUUGUGUCAUCAAAUAGGAUUGUAUAUGCAGAGACCAUUUCCACAAAUAUAUACUCACCAAAAUUCAUGAAAGUCAUUAUUCCUAGGGAUAGAAAGCAGACAACUGAGGAUUUGGGGAUGAGAGGAAAAUCUUAAAAACAAAACAAAACAAAACCACUGUAUAACCUCUUACAUUGUUUAACUUUUUGCUGCAAA